rnacentral:tRNA from 1 species
GCGCCCGUAGCUCAACUGGAUAGAGCACAGGCCUACGAAGCCUGGGGUUACAUGUUCGAGUCAUGUCGGGCGCG